AAUCAACGCUGGCGGCGUGCCUCAGACAUGCAAGUCGAACGCGAAAGUUCCCUUCGGGGGAUAAGUAGAGUGGCGUCCGGGUGAGUAACACGUAGGUAAUCUACCUUUGGGUGGGGAAUAACAACCGGAAACGGUUGCUAAUACCGCAUAAUGCAGCGGCACCACAUGGUGACAGUUGUUAAAGCGGGGGAUCGCAAGACCUCGCGCCUAAAGAGGAGCCUGCGGCGGAUUAGCUAGUUGGAGGGUAACGGCCUACCAAGGCAACGAUCCGUAGCCGGCCUGAGAGGGCGGUCGGCCACACUGACACUGAAAUACGGGUCAGACUCCUACGGGAGGCAGCAGUCGGGAAUUUUGGGCAAUGGGCGAAAGCCUGACCCAGCAACGCCGCGUGAAGGAUGAAAUCCCUCGGGAUGUAAAC
rnacentral:rRNA from 1 species